rnacentral:rRNA from 1 species
UACGUAGGGGGCUAGCGUUGUCCGGAAUCAUUGGGCGUAAAGCGCGUGUAGGCGGCCUUGUAAGUCCGUUCUGAAAGCCCGGGGCUCAACCCCGGGAGGCGGAUGGAUACUGCAAGGCUCGAGUCCGGAAGAGGCGAGUGGAAUUCCCGGUGUAGCGGUGGAAUGCGCAGAUAUCAGGAGGAACACCAACGGCGAAGGCAGCUCGCUGGGACGGUACUGACACUGAGGCGCGAAAGCGUGGGGAGCGAACAGG